GACGAACGCUGGCGGCGUGCUUAACACAUGCAAGUCGAACGGAAAGGCCCUGCUUUUGUGGGGUGCUCGAGUGGCGAACGGGUGCGUAACACGUGAGUAACCUGCCCUUGACUUUGGGAUAACUUCAGGAAACUGGGGCUAAUACCGGAUAGGAGCUCCUGCUGCAUGGUGGGGGUUGGAAAGUUUCGGCGGUUGGGGAUGGACUCGCGGCUUAUCAGCUUGCUGGUGGGGUAGUGGCUUACCAAGGCUUUGACGGGUAGCCGGCCUGAGAGGGUGGCCGGCCACAUUGGGACUGAGAUAGGGCCCAGACUCGUACGGGAGGCAGCAGUGGGAAAUAUUGCACAAUGGGCGGAAGCCUGAUGAAGAAACGCCGCGGGCGGGAUGACGGCCUUCGGGUUGUAAACCGCUUUCGCCUGUGACGAAGCGUGAGUGACGGUAAUGGGUAAAGAAGCACCGGCUAACUACGUG
rnacentral:rRNA from 1 species